GAUGCUCUCCAGCACAUUGAUGCGUUUGUGAGCAGGCAAGUGCCUGGGACCAUCAGACUCUACCUUGCCACAAAAAUGGAAGAGUCCUAACAGAAGAUACUCCCGUUGUAUUCAGGACUGAUUUGCAGGAUCAGAGCAAAGGAUGGCCUAUACCCAAAGCAGGGGCAGAUCUUUACCCUGCUACAUCUAUUCAUUCACAAAUUACAGGUAAGGAUAUUACCCUUUACAGCAUGAGUGAGCAAGCAUAGUGAGGUUCAACCAGUUACUUCCAGCUCUGUUCUUACACCAGAGUCCCAUCCAUAAGUGAAUGACCUGAGCAGUAUGUUGAGUGUUGUGAGACUGUAAACUGUGAGGAAAACACUGCGAGAGGAAGUAAAAGGACUCUCAAUGCUGUGUUGGUCUUCUUUAUUACUUCUUAAAGAGAAAGCUAUACUUCUCCUUGACUUAAGCAACAUACAAUCCUGCUCUGAAAGAAUCAAGAGAAAGGGCUGACUUUGUUUUGCAGAAGACUGUGGUGUUUCAGAGUAUGGUUUCUUUCUGUUGGGAACAAUACCCUAUUUAGAAAAAAAAGGCGUGAAGCUGUGGCUUCAGUGAACAGGAGGGGGACUGCCCCAGAGCCAUAAGCCGUGGGAGUCCCCACGCAGCAGGCUGCCCCACAGCUGUGGACACUGAGAACUCCAGCUAUCAAGGAAGAAUGAGCCUGGAAGCCCUGAGAGCCACGGCUCCCAGCACUUCCCAGAUCUCUGCCAAGGAACCAGGUCAGCAAGCUGUCAGGAAGCUGGGUAGGGUUCUCAUUGAAACACCAGAUUUUGACAAGUCAGCAAAUGCUCAAUUAAAAACAUGUCAGAUUUUUUCCAACCAGCUCUACUCGCAAUUUAAACAAAUAAAGGGUGUGGGGAGGAAACACUGUCCUUAUUUUACACUAGGGGGACUGAGGCAGAGAUACUAACUUAUGCCAGGUGCUGCAGAAAGUCUGCAGUCAGAAGGCAAACUUAGAUUCCAUAAUGACAAGAGUAUCCUUCCGCUAGCCUUAAUGAAUUUGCCAUUGCAAAGACCUUGUGAGGUAAGUAUCACUUUCGUUUUAAUAGAUGGGGCAAUGAAAUAAUUGUACAACAACAGAUAGGAAGCCUGUAGCUGAGACAGGACAUGAACCCAGUGUUCCUAAAGGUGCUAGGCAUACCUGUUUCUUUCAUGGACAAGGUACACACACAAGAUUCAGUCACUUUUGGAUGACCUUACUUGACUAACCAUACUAAUUGCAGCAAUU